rnacentral:lncRNA from 1 species
GGGAUUUAUUUAUUUAUUUUUAAAUUUCAGAUGAAAUUUACUUAAAGACUUGUAGAUACUAAUGUGAGCCAUCUGAUGCUUCAGAACCGUAAGUAUCCGUUAUCAGAGGAUUCUAAAAUUAAAAUGUCAUAGAGGGUGCAAGGAUUUCUUUUUCCCUUCCGUUUCCCCCCCCUGGGGUCAUUGCGUGGACUAAGGAUCUGUUUUCUCAAUGAUAAAGGCUGCCAGGAGGGCAGAGUUCAUAUUACUGGUUCUCCCAUUGAUGAAACGUACGUUCAAGUAUUUUUCUGAUUCCAUUGGUCAGUCUGAGCUAGAAGGCCUGUGUCACGGUCUGAAUCUGACUUGUCCUGCAAAGGCUGUUUUCAAGGCUUGACCUUCACCUGGCGGGUGCUAUUUUGAAAAGGCUACAGAGCCUUUAGGAAGUGGAGCUUGGCUAGAAGAAGUGAGCCCCUGGGGAGGGUUCUCAGUGUGUUAUCCUUCCCUUCCUUCCUUCCUCCCUCCCUUCCUUCCUUCCUUCCUUCCUUCCUUCCUUCCUUCCUUCCUUCCUUCCUUCCUUCCUUCCUCCCUCCCUCCCUCCCUCCCUUUCUUCCUUCCUGUCUCCAUCCCUGGUUCUGGUCUGCUCUGAUGAGAUUAAGUGAUCCUCUGCGCCUGCUCCUCCCGCCACGGUGCCCUGUUCAAACACGUGGGAACAAGAGCUGGAACACUCGGAGCCAUAACAUAAAACCAUUAUUUCCUGCCUUCAUUUCUGUCACGUGCUGUGGUCACAGUGUCCCCGCUCUGGCCUCAGGACCCAGUGUCACCAUUUCUUUUCAAACUGUCAUUCUUGAUUCCCUUGUAGACUCCGUCAACAGUAGAUGCUUAAUAAAUGUCCAUGAAUGCCAGAGUGACAACUGUACUGGAAGCACACCAUCACCAGGCUAUCCUGGAUAAUUAAGCUCAUAUCCAGGGUGAUGGCUCUGAAGGAAAUGGAAUCUCUUUGGGUUGCAAAGGUUGAGGAUUUUUCUUUCCCGUGGUGUCUCACAUGAGUUGUGAUGAGAAGAACAUCAGGGAAGGGAAGCAAGCAUGGGACUCUCCUGAGUUGUGG